CUGAUGAGCCGUAAUGCCAUUAAUUUGGUUGUUUGCGGGGAAUUUGGACUGUUACUUUGAAAAAAUUAGAGUGUUUAAAGCAAGCUAACGCUUGAAUACAUUAGCAUGGAAUAAUGAAAUAGGACGUUCGAUCCUAUUUUGUUGGUUUCUAGGAUUGACGUAAUGAUUAAUAGGGAUAGUUGGGGGCAUUAGUAUUCAAUUGUCAGAGGUGAAAUUCUUGGAUUUAUUGAAGACUAACUACUGCGAAAGCAUUUGCCAAGGAUGUUUUCAUUAAUCAAGAACGAAAGUUAGGGGAUCGAAGACGAUCAGAUACCGUCGUAGUCUUAACCAUAAACUAUGCCGACUAGGGAUCGGAUGAUGUUAAUUUUUUAAUGACUCAUUCGGCGCCUUACG
rnacentral:rRNA from 1 species